rnacentral:lncRNA from 1 species
AUGUCUCUUGCAUCUCCUGCAUUGGCAGGUGGGUUCUUUACCACUGCACCACCUAGGAAGCUGCCAAGUGAAUAUAGCUAUGUCCAAGGGUCCACCAUGCACCUGCUAUCUGCCUGGCGUGGUCGGGACCCUGAGAACGCAGCGAACAAGAUAGUCAGGGUGACACAGGGUGGAGAGACAACAGACAAAUCACCAGCUCUAAAGCAUGUUGGCAGAGCUAAGGGCUAUGACCUUGAUUGGUUGACUUCUACAGAAGGCUUCGCAGAGUGUUCUACAGACCGUGGUUUGCCUGCCUGA